AGAAUCAACGCUGGCGGCGUGCCUAACACAUGCAAGUCGAACGAGAAAGUGGAGCAAUCCAUGAGUAAAGUGGCGCACGGGUGAGUAACACGUGACUAACCUACCUUUUUAGUGGGGGAUAACCUAGGGAAACCUGGGCUAAUACCGCAUAACACUUACGAGUCAAAGCAGCAAUGCGCUGAAAGAGGGGGUCGCGGCCGAUUAGCUAGUUGGCGGGGUAAGGCCCACCAAGGCAGUGAUCGGUA
rnacentral:rRNA from 1 species